rnacentral:rRNA from 1 species
CCUACGGGAGGCAGCAGUAAGGAAUAUUGGUCAAUGGAGGCAACUCUGAACCAGCCAUGCCGCGUGCAGGAAGACUGCCCUAUGGGUUGUAAACUGCUUUUAUCCGGGAAUAAACCUACUUACGUGUAAGUAGCUGAAUGUACCGGAAGAAUAAGGAUCGGCUAACUCCGUGCCAGCAGCCGCGGUAAUACGGAGGAUCCAAGCGUUAUCCGGAUUUAUUGGGUUUAAAGGGUGCGUAGGCGGCCUGUUAAGUCAGGGGUGAAAGACGGUAGCUCAACUAUCGCAGUGCCCUUGAUACUGAUGGGCUUGAAUGGACUAGAGGUAGGCGGAAUGAGACAAGUAGCGGUGAAAUGCAUAGAUAUGUCUCAGAACACCGAUUGCGAAGGCAGCUUACUAUGGUCUUAUUGACGCUGAGGCACGAAAGCGUGGGGAUCAAACAGGAUUAGAUACCCUGGUAGUCCACGCCCUAAACGAUGAACACUCGCUGUUGGCGAUACACAGUCAGCGCGUAGACGAAGACGUUAAGUUAGUUCCUACCGUCGGGAGGUACGGCCCGCCGACGGGUAGAACGUACGAACGGAAGUUAGUACGGCGUAGAGACGUUAGCCGACGGACGACGACGAGGGAGGAGG